rnacentral:rRNA from 1 species
CCGUGAACCAUCGAGUUUUUGAACGCAAGUUGCGCCCGAAGCCAUUCGGCUGAGGGCACGUCUGCCUGGGCGUCACGC